UCAGAAUAGUAAAUGUAUUUAUUAGUAAAUAUAUUUAUUAUAGGUUACACAUAUAGAUAAAUUUAAGACUGUACAAUCAAUUUUUCUCCAGGGGCCAGUUGUUCAAGGGUGGCCGGAUUAGCUUAACCCUAAGUAAAAUUAACCUAAAAUUCAAAGCAAACUUCUUGACAGCUUGUCUAUAAAUUUGGGAAUAUUUCUUCAGAGAUCUUGUCUGGAUCGAUAGGAGUUUUUUUCUCUGAAGUUUUGAAAUAAACAGGCGUGUAGAAAUACACAAACUAAAACAGCAGGCUAAAUUUUAACCCAGGGUUAGCGC